UACGAAGGGGGCUAGCGUUGUUCGGAAUUACUGGGCGUAAAGCGCACGUAGGCGGAUAUUUAAGUCAGGGGUGAAAUCCCAGAGCUCAACUCUGGAACUGCCUUUGAUACUGGGUAUCUUGAGUAUGGAAGAGGUGAGUGGAAUUGCGAGUGUAGAGGUGAAAUUCGUAGAUAUUAGCAGGAACACCAGUGGCGAAGGCGGCUCACUGGUCCAUAACUGACGCUGAGGUGCGAAAGCGUGGGGAGCAAACAGG
rnacentral:rRNA from 1 species